rnacentral:other from 1 species
AAAUCCCUGCGGUGCGCGUGAUCGGAAUGAAGAAUCUUGAGCCAUUAGCACUAAACUAGGGAGCCUAACUGAGCAUACGCCUUGGCGUAUGACCGAGGGCACCCACCUGUUCAUAACAGGGUCAAGAUAAUUCAUAUCACAACGGCAUUGCGGGGAUUUU